rnacentral:rRNA from 1 species
AUGCAUUGUGUGUCAUGGAAAGAGUUAGCUACACCCAAGUGCAAUGGUGGCAUGGGUUUCCGAGACCUCCACUAGUUCAACCUUGCAAUGUUGGGAAAGCAUGGAUGGCAUCUUUUGACAAAUCCGAACUCCCGUUGUGCAACAAUCUUGAAAGGCCGAUAUUUCCCCGACACUAGUUUCAUGCAAGCAUCCUCCCCAAAGUCGGCCUCGGCCACAUGGAAGGCGAUCAUUGCGGGAAAAGAGGGGCUAAGGAUUGGGCUGAUCUCGUGA